GCCGGCAUAGCUCAAUUGGCAGAGCAACUGAUUUGUAAUCAGUAGGUUAAAAGUUCAAAUCUUUUUGUCGGCUCCA
rnacentral:tRNA from 1 species